GUAUUUCUCCACAUAAAACAUAUGCUUUCCACAUGAUAAACUCAAUCAAUAUGUUUAGAAUAUCUGCACAGAAUUCCCAUAAGUGCCUGAACUGAGAGCAAGUGCUGUAUUACAAUAAAUUAUCACAUCAGACAAGGUCAUUUAUACUCUUGUGAAGGACACGCGGGUGUAUGCAGGUAACUGCUGACCUUUAGGCAUGAGUGAAUCAGAGCGCAGCUGAAAACAACUCACCAAUGGAAAAAAUAGGCUUUAUCAACAUUACAUAAUAUCCUGCCCUUUCUGAAGAAGUCUGAAUCAUGCAAGAAACUUUUCCUGUUCGGUAUCUGUUCAAAUACAAUUCAAUUCAGUACAUCUGGAGUUAUUAUAAACCAACCAUAAAAAAAAACAAUUGUGUUACUAGAAACAAAAUAAACGUAAACUGAAAUAAAACAAAAAUACAGCCACUUUAUUAGGUACCAGGUCGGACCUCAUUUUGCCUUCAGAACUGCCUCAAUUCUUCUUGGCAAAGAUUCAACAAGGUGCUGGAAACAUUCCUCAGAGAUUUUGGUCCAUAUUGUCAUGAUAUCAUUCAUCACGCAUUGCAGAUGUGAAUCUCCAGUUCCAGCACAUCCCAAAGCUGCUUUACUGGAUUGAGAUCUGCUGACUGGAGGUCAUCUGAGGUUAGUGAACUCAUUGUCAUGUUCAAGAAACCAACUUGAGAUGAUUUGUGACAUGGGUCAUUAUCCUGCUGGAAGUAGCCAUCAGAAGACAAUUCUCAGAUAGUUGGUUCUGCAUCAAGCAUGGACAAGUUUGUGAAAGGAUUCAAACGUCACAACUACAAAAACAAUGUCUACACCAGACGCGAGCGAACAAAAGCAAAACCAUUAUAAUCAGUGAUGCCGUCUACACUGGAUAUUGCACGAUACGACACGACAAAUCCCGAAAGUUGCACUUGCGCAACUUCCGACACAAAGGACAAACGGAUUUGUACCGUUUGCUUUGUUGCAUCCAGUAGACAGCCUCAAGCUGUACACACGGUGAAAAGACAAGAAAAUAUGAUGAGGCAUAUCUCGCCCUCUGAUUCACCAGUACAGCGGUGAGUAAAGAAGAGAGAUAUUCACUUCUGACAGUAUGAAGCCGGGCUGAUCUGAAGAAACUCUGUCCACUAUAAAGUACAUUUUGUGCAAUGGAAAGGUUCUAUGGUUCUUCAUGGAACCAUAGAUGCCAAUAAAGGUUUUUUUUUUUUUUUUUUUAAAUGGCCGAUGGUUUCUCUAGAUUAGACUCUUAUUCCUCGUCUGGGAUCGUGUAGAGCUCUUUGAAGCUGCACUGAAACUGACAUUUGGACCUUCAACCCGUUGAACCCCAGUGAAGUCCACUAUAUGGAGAAAAAUCCUGGAAUGUUUUCCUCAAAAACCUUCAUUUCUUUUCCACUGAAGAAAGAAAGACAUGAACAUCUCGGAUGACAUGGGGGUGAGUAAAUUAUCAGGAAAUUUUAACUCUGAAGCGAACUAAUCCUUUAAGCACUGAUCAGAUGAGAUGCAUUUAAUCUUGUUAUUGCUGUUGAAGAGACGGGAUUUCACAUUGGUUAUCCAUUAAACAUCUGAGCAUAGUGUUUGCAAUGAUGAAAACAAACAAGGACACACAAACAAGUGGAGAGAACAGAUCGUUUUGAAGAUAGCACCAUCUAAGGCAGAUUUCCUGGAAGCCUCGUGACACAACUGAAGCGAGUGCACUUUCUAAUGAAGCUCGACAAGAUGCAACUUGAUAGCACUGUCCUUGCUCCCAUGCUGAUGCCACAGAAACACACUGUUCUGACAUUCUAUUGCAUGACCUCGUCAUAAUCACUGCUGAGAUGAAGAAUGAAGAAAUCAAAGACGAGGGCGUGAUCAUAUCGCUCGGGGCAAUGCUUGAUCAAACUAUUACGUCACAGCAUUGACAACCGAUGAAACCCUAAGGGGACAUUGUACCUGCAUGGGAAACAGAACGCUCCUCGAUGUUUUGGAAUAUAUGUUUGCGUUCACAAUUGCAGUGAAAAAGCAACCGGUUUCAGUGACAGUUGGCGAUCUGAGGCAUCUUGAACAGGCCCACAGAGAAUUGGCACAAAGAAAACAGAAAAGCAGAAAUGGAAUAAAUUGGAAGUGCUACACGUCCACCACUCGUUAGCAAUGUUUCCAUGCAAAGUUGUGAAUUUAUCUUGUGUGCAAAAUUGGAAUAUCACAUAACAAAUAAAGCACUGUUUCCAACCCAUGUGUUCAAGAGAACAAAAUAUCUCUAAUAAAAAAAAAAAAAAAAUGGAAGAGCCAUUGUGGCUCUUUUUCCUUCCAUCAUAAAUGAGUUUGUCUCACAGCGGCAGAUGAAACACAAUAAACGCUGUCAUGUUCUCUUGCGUGUUUGGGAACGCAAUCGCGUGAGACGCUUCUGGAGGGAAUUAAACCAAAUCAUUCCGAUGACAGAUUUUGACUCAGGCGUUUCACAACCACCAAACCAACAUCUGAGAUGCUGCGAUGCGAUUGGUCCGCUGGUUUGUCCAGUUAUCCAAUCACAGCCUCUGUUGAGUCAUGUAAGUUUUUUGUUGCACAUCGAGAGAUUUAUUUGGUAAAGGUGUUUCCAUCAUAGUUCCUGCACGUCUUCUUAUCAGAUAUAUAUAUAUAUAUAUAUAUAUAUAUAUAUAUAUAUAUAUAUAUAUAUAUAUAUAUAUAUAUAUAUACACCUUAAUCAAGUGUAUACGUUUUUUUUUAUGCACAUUUUUAGAAUGUAUGUGCAUCUUGGCAUUUCCAUCCAUAGUUUUUUUUUUUUUUACACAAUAACCCAAAAUGUGCUUAAAAUAGGUGGAUGGAAACAGCUAUUGUUUAUUAAAUAUUUUGGCUAAUUCAAUUAUGCUUUCAGAAAUAAGAGUGUAGUACUCUUAGCUCAGGUUUUACUAUUACAUUUAUUAUGCAGAUUACUAAAUAACCAAUUUGCAACGAGAGUGAAGACUAUGGACCACAUCGUAUUAGAGGACCAAAUUCAAGAUACACCUUAUUGAAGGACACCUAAAAUGCCCCUUUCACAAGAUGUAAUAUAAGUCUCUGGUGUCUCCAGAAUGUGUCUGUGAAGUUUCAGCUCAAAAUACCCCACAGAUCAUUUAUUAUAGCUUGUCAAAUUUGCCCCUAUUUGGGUGUGAGCAAAAACACGCCAUUUUUGUGUGUGUCCCUUUAAAUGCAAAUGAGCUGCUGCUCCCGGCCCCCUUUCCAGAAGAGGGCGGAGCUUUAACAGCUCAACAACAACAAAGCUGGAGAAUCUCACGCAGCCAAAAUGAGGAUUGUCAGUAACGGUGUUCAGCCUUACAUUGUUCAAACCGGAGUAAAUUUAUGUAGUUGCUGUGGAGUUGAUUCAACUCAUCCACUAGCAUGUGCCAUCAUGUUAAUCUUCUGUGCAAAUCCAGCAUUGAAUUGACACUCGUUUGUGAAGCAGUCCGGCGUAAAAUGACGGCAUGACAACAACACUCUACUACAACAGCUCUUCCUCUUCUCUAAAGCAGCCCAACAUGGCCCCGCCCCCUUUGUUGUGUGUUCUCGGGGGCGGGGUUUAUGUAAAUUUUAGGGGUUGUGAUGUCACUAACCCAGGAAGAAGCUUGUUGUAGUCCCUACCAGCCGUUUGUUGUAGUCCUUAAACAGAGAAUUAUUUAAAAGAAAAUAUCUCCCUUUGCAUUGAACUUUGAGUGUCGUAAGUUUGCAGAUGUUGUUUAUGAUCAAACAGCAACAUUACACACUAACUAAAGUUACAAAAGUGAAAUCAUAAUCAACCACCCCUUUAAUAAAACACACAUACAGGCAAGCAGAUGACUGCAGAACAUCAACCCAACGCGCAAAGUUUCACAGUGAGUGUUUUCCCAUUACAAAGAAAACGCUUAAGAUGCAAUGUAGAGCAUAGCGUUCAUAUUCUGGGCUCAUCUGCUUGCCUGUAUAUUGUAUGCAUCAUCAAUAAAGUGCAUAUUUAAUUUGGUCUUUUAAUAUCACUGCCUUAGUACAUUAAGUUACUUAGUACGUUUGAUAUUUAGCGUUUAACAAUGUCCCACUGUUUUUAGCAAUUGUAAUACUGAGACAGGUGCUUUAUAUGAAUCGCAAGAGCUCAAAACUUGCAGUUUGUUCACAUAUUUUUGCUUUCCUUCUUUUGAGAGGUGAUCAAAAUAUCCUUGGCUUGAAACAAAUGGAGAAGUGACAGGCCUGUGCUGCAGUUCUAUGGAUGUUUUUACCCUGCAGGGGUCAGUUGCACCAGCUGUGUAUCUUUAGACAAACCCCACAUCUAAUCUUCCUCGCUCUGUCUAUACCUGGCUCUUGAUGAUGUCAUCGUCCCGGUGGAUUUGUAGGACGUAUCCGCUGUUGCACAUGACAGUGCAGCGCGCGCCGUUGAAGUAUCCCCCGUCGCUGCACUGCACCUCUGCGUUCCGGAUCAACGGCUCUUGGCAGUCAAUGGCUUCACAGGAGUAAUGAACACAACUGAAACCAGACAGAUGCAGAGGAAGGGAGGAGUUACAGCGACAGUAUGAUGUCCAGAGGGGAUUUCCUGGAGAGACGCGUUAACUGUUACUUCUCAGAGGCAUAUUUGGAGUUUCUGCUCAACGGCGCCAUCCUAUUCUGGGUGAAAAUAGGAAAAAUAAUACUUCUCUCUGAAGAACUGUGAGGGAAACAAAUACUCAGUAUUUUCUUCUCCAGUGUACAGGAGGUUUUUUUCGCAGUGGAUGCGUAAGAAGCACAUGUUUCAUAUUAAAUAAUCCAUUUUUGAUUUUGCAUAACUCCUGACAAAAAUAAAGAAAUUAUUGUCACGGAUUUGUAUCAUAAUAAUAAUAAAAUAUUUAAU